rnacentral:rRNA from 1 species
AUAUAAAUAAGCGGAGGAAAAGAAACUAACAAGGAUUGACGUAGUAAGGGCGACUGAACUGUCAAAAGCUCACCGUGUGAAUCAGCGUACGCAAGUGCGCCGAAUUGUGGUUUGGAGGUGUUUGCACUUUUGCGCUGGGCAAAGUCCCUUGGAAGAGGGCAGCAUAGAGGGUGAUACUCCCGUUUGCCUAGCGCUUUGAGCGUGCACCGAUGAGUCGAGUUGUUUGGGAUUGCAGCUCAAAGCCGGUGGUAAAUUCCAUCGAAAGCUAAAUAUUGGCGGGAGACCGAUAGCGCACAAGUA